rnacentral:rRNA from 1 species
UACGUAGGGGGCUAGCGUUGUCCGGAAUCAUUGGGCGUAAAGAGCGUGUAGGCGGUCCGGUAAGUCCGCUGUGAAAGUCGGGGGCUCAACCCUCGAAUGCCGGUGGAUACUGUCGGGCUAGAGUGCGGAAGAGGCGAGUGGAAUUCCUGGUGUAGCGGUGAAAUGCGCAGAUAUCAGGAGGAACACCGAUUGCGAAGGCAGCUCGCUGGGACGUCACUGACGCUGAGACGCGAAAGCGUGGGGAGCAAACAGG